rnacentral:misc_RNA from 1 species
UCAUGCUGGAAGUCACAGGAGUCAAUGAUCUGGAUGCUCCACAAAUUGGCAUGUUCAGCAAUGCCUUUAGAAGCAAGGUUAUUCUUGAUUCGGAUAAAGCUCAAAUUGAACUGCCAGAUGAAGAAGUUUCUGUGGUUUCUUUAGAUGAAACAUCAGCAGACUGCAAUGACGAGGAACUAAGUGGUUUGGCAUCUUGGUUGGGUGGAUCCUAUGCUAUAGAUGCUUUGGAAACACAGAAUGGAAAGUUGAUCAUCCCACUGGCUAGUGGUGUCAAUAUGAAUCUUCACGUGUCAAAGAAAGCAGACCAGGAAUUCAUGGCAAGUCUCUUGGCUUUGUUCCGCAAUAGUAGAAGAGCAGUAGAAAUGCAUGAAGAUCUGUCACAGGCUACUCAAGGACCUGCAGAGUUGAUCAUGGGUCGUUUUGAUGGCGUUAAGGCCUUGCAAGAGCAAUAUGGACCUGAAGUUGUGGAGCAAGGACUGGAGCUAUUGCUUGCUACAUUGUCUAAAAUGCUUGAUUCAUUCCAAGCAGC